GCACUUUUUAAAAAGGAUAAAUAUCUUAAAAUAAUAAUAAUAAUUUUUUAAAAAAUCAAAAUGGAUAAAAAUCUUGAUUUCUGCCUUCUCUUUCUGCCUUUGAGAUGGAGCCACCCUCUCUCAAGCUGCCAAGACCCCACGGCUCCCUUUCAUCCCUCUGGUUUUGAGGCUCAGCUGUCAGUUAUCAUUCAUAUGCACUGGUGUUUUUCUGAUGAUAGAGAACCAGUUCUCUGUAGCCAGGCCUCCACCUGAGCAAAUCUAGCUGAGCAAGCUUCAGGACAAAUGGAGAAAGCAUAUUUCUUUGUGGAGAAAAAAUUAUUCCUAUAUGAUUUAAUAUGCACAACCAUAUGCCUACAACUCUGAUAUAUAGUGCGCAUCUUCUCCUGCACGAUGCCUGUCUCUAUCCUCUCCCUACAGGCAUUGGUGUUUGCAGCCCUUGGCCUACAAUCUUUCCACGUGUGUCUGCAGCCUCUCUCCUAUCAGAGUGGAUCUCCAGGUUCUUUGAGGAUCAUCCCCGUAACUUCUAUAGUAUCCACCGCCCUCAGUUCCCUACAACACCUGCUAUGGGACUGUUGACUAAAGACGCCUCGGUAUGUGACCGGCUGUCACUUCCAACAAAAUCUUUGAAGAUGAUAACAGGGCCUCACUGUCCUAAUCUGCAAAGUGACAGCAACAUACCUGGGAAAGCCAGCAGAAGCAGGUCUAACGACACCCCUGGGAGGAUUCUGGAGCAUCGGAGACUCAACAUACGCAAUGAUAACAUUACCUGACGUGGAGUCGAGAAGGAACAUCUGCCUCAGAAGAUGCAGUGGAUGCAGAAG
rnacentral:lncRNA from 1 species